AUUGAACGCUGGCGGCAGGCUUAACACAUGCAAGUCGAGCGGGGGAAGGUAGCUUGCUACCGGACCUAGCGGCGGACGGGUGAGUAAUGCUUAGGAAUCUGCCUAUUAGUGGGGGACAACAUCUCGAAAGGGAUGCUAAUACCGCAUACGACCUACUGGAGAAAGCAGGGGAUCUUCGGACCUUGCGCUAACAGAUGAGCCUAAGACGGAUUAGCUAGUUGGUGGGGUAAAGGCCUACCAAGGCGACGAUCUGUAGCGGGUCUGAGAGGAUGAUCCGCCACACUGGGACUGAGACACGGCCCAGACUCCUACGGGAGGCAGCAGUGGGGAAUAUUGGACAAGGGGGGGAACCCUGAUCCAGCCAUGCCGCGUGUGUGAAGAAGGCCUUAUGGUUGUAAAGCACUUUAAGCGAGGAGGAGGCUACUCUAGUUAAUACCUAGGGAUAGUGGACGUUACUCGCAGAAUAAGCACCGGCUAACUCUGUGCCAGCCGCCGCAGUA
rnacentral:rRNA from 1 species